UGCUUCCUUCUUGAAGGUCGAGCCCACCAUCUAUCUCUUUCGGGCAUGUUUUACCUUUAAGGAGCACCCUAGGAAGAUCGAGUGGUGGUAUGUCUUGCCUCGGAUGAAAUGUCAUCUCAUUUAAGGUAUUCCUUCCCUCAUUGAUAGAUGGAAUGGGCAUUUUUUUCAUAUCGACCGAACAGUCAUUGGGGUUCCAUACCUCAUGGGGUCGGCCCC
rnacentral:lncRNA from 1 species